rnacentral:misc_RNA from 1 species
GUUUCUGUCAUCAACUACAUCCCCGAGAUUCCUUGGCCUCUUAUAUUAUAGAGAGGAAUUGCUUAAUUGUAAGUCUAUGGUUGAUUAAAGAGGGUUGCAAGAACAGCACGGACUAUGAUGAUUUUGGUUUUGAGUUGUGUGUUAGUGUGCUUUGUCAUAUUAUUUCUCAUCAAGUUCUUAUAUGAAGUAUGGUGGAAACCAAUUCACGUACAAUCUGCACUGAGGUCACAGGGAAUAAGAGGCCCCCCUUACAGAUUUUUCCAUGGAAAUGCAAAAGAUAUCAUCAGAAUGAAAAAUGAAUCCUUCACCAGUUCCAUGGAAUUAUCACAUCAAAUAUUACCUAGAAUCCAGCCUCACUAUUAUUUAUGGAACAAGCUAUAUGGGAAUAAUUGUGUCAGUUGGCUUGGUCCUCGACCUCAGUUGAUCGUCACGGAGCCUAAUCUGGUUAAAGAGAUACUGAACAAAGAUGAAUUGUAUCCAAAACCGGAGUUUGAAUCUUAUUUGAAAAACCUCUUUGGGGAUGGACUUGUAACAACCAGAGGUGAAAAAUGGUUUAGGCAGCGUAAACUGGCGAAUCAUACAUUUCAUGGAGAUAACUUGAAAGUUAUGAUUCCAGCAAUGAUCGCGAGUGCAGAGAUGAUGCUUGAAAGAUGGAGACAGCAUGAAAGCAAGGAGAUUGAUGUAUACAUAGAAUUCAAGCUAUUAACAUCUGAAAUAAUUUCCAGGACAGCCUUUGGAAGCAGCUACUUGGAAGGGAAGCAUAUUUUUGAUUUGCUAUCGAGGCUGAUUCUUAUACUUUCCAGAAAUAAUUAUCAAGUCAGAAUUCCUGGACUAAAAAAAAUUAUAAAGACAAAGGAUGAUAUCGAAGCAGAUAGACUGGAACAUGGCAUGCGAGACUCCAUCUUAAAGAUGAUAAAGAAGAGGGAAGAGGAAGCAAAGAUGCGUGAAGUGGAUAGCUAUGGAAGUGAUUAUCUUGGAGUAUUGAUAAAGGCAAACAGGGAUGUGGAUAAGACCAAGCAAAUAUCCAUAGACGACCUAGUUGAUGAGUGCAAGACAUUUUAUAUUGCUGGACAUGAGACAACUACUAGUUCACUCACAUGGAGUGUUCUUCUUCUAGCAAUGCACAGAGAUUGGCAAGAAAAAGCUAGGAAGGAAGUACUGGAAUUAUUUGGCCAAAGAAAUCCAACUUCAGAUGAAAUAUCAAGAUUGAAGAUCAUGAAUAUGAUUGUCAAUGAAACUUUAAGGUUAUACACUCCUAUUACUACUCUGAUAAGAGAAGUCCAGAAGGGAACCAAAUUGGGGAAGCUAAUUGCUCCAGCUCGGAUGGAUGUCCUGAUUCCAACUCUAGCAGUGCAUCAUGAUCCUGAAAUAUGGGGAGAAGAUGUUCAUCUCUUCAAACCGGAAAGAUUUGCAGAAGGGGUGGCUAAGGCUACAAGGAAUAACAUUGCAGCAUUUUGCCCAUUUGGUUUGGGACCAAGAAAUUGUGUGGGCAUGAACUUUGCCAUGACAGAAACAAAGAUUGCACUCUCAAUGAUCCUACAACGUUACAGGUUUACUUUGUCACCAAGUUAUGUCCAUUCACCCAUUGUCCUUAUCGCAGUUUGCCCACAAAGUGGACUUCAAAUCACUCUUCAGCCCUUGUAAGUCCUGAAUUGCUGAUGGUUGUCUUGAUUUGGCAUGGAAUAAUCAUUUCAGUUUCUCAGUUAAACGUGUUCAUUAGUGUUAGGAAUUUAGGAUGUUUGUGUUCCUCAUAAAUAUAAAUUAAAUAAAAAGAAGGGCUUACUUUCAAAUUUGACAAAAAUAUUACAUGAGAAAUUCUUG